GACGAACGCUGGCGGCGUGCCUAACACAUGCAAGUCGAACGGAGCCAGCCCCUUCGGGGACUGACUUAGUGGCGAACGGGUGAGUAACGCGUGAGAAACCUGCCUUUCAGUGGGGGACAACAGUUGGAAACGACUGCUAAUACCGCAUAAUGUCAUUUGGGGGCAUCCUCGAAUGACCAAAGAUUUAUUGCUGAAAGAUGGUCUCGCGUCUGAUUAGCUAGGUGGCGGGGUAACGGCCCACCAUGGCGACGAUCAGUAGCCGGUCUGAGAGGAUGAACGGCCACAUUGGGACUGAGAUACGGCCCAGACUCCUACGGGAGGCAGCAGUGGGGAAUAUUGGGCAAUGGGGGAAACCCUGACCCAGCAACGCCGCGUGAAGGAAGAAGGCCUUCGGGUUGUAAACUUCUUUUACCAGGGACGAAGAACGUGACGGUACCUGGAGAAAAAGCAACGGCUAACUACGUGCCAGCAGCCGCCGUAAUAC
rnacentral:rRNA from 1 species